rnacentral:misc_RNA from 1 species
CGCACAUUGCGCCCACUAGUAUUCUGGUGGGCAUGCCUGUUCGAGCGUCAUUUCAACCCUCAAGCCUGGCUUGGUGUUGGGGCUCUGCGCACCGCAGUCCCCUAAAUUCAGUGGCGGACACGCUAGGUCUCCGAGCGCAGUAGUUUCUUCUCGCUUCGGGCGUCCGGCGUGGGCUUGCCUCGCACCCAACUUCUCAAGGUUGACCUCGGAUCAGGUAGGAAUACCCGCUGAACUUAA